rnacentral:rRNA from 1 species
UCCAGCUGACCCUGCUGGAGGAUACUGCUAUCAAAGUUGCACUUAGACAUGCAAGUUGCAAGUGCCAGCAAGGCGCUUAGCGAACGGCUCAGUAACACGUGGUUAACCUACCCUCAAGACGAGUAAAUCCCGGGAAACUGGGGCUAAUGCUCGAUAGGAAACUCUUUCUGGAAAGAUUUGUUUCCCAAACGCUAAACUUAUUCUAGUGAUGCGCUUGAGGAUGGGAUUGCGGCGCAUUAGGCUGUUGGCGGGGUAAUGGCCCACCAAACCUAUGAUGCGUACGGGCCUUGAGAGAGGGAGCCCGGAGAAGGGAACUGAGAUAAGGUCCCUAGCCCUACGGGGUGCAGCAGUUAGGAAACCUUUACAAUGCGCGAAAGCGUGAUAGGGUAACUUUGAGUGCCAUCACUGAUGGCUUUUGCCAAGUUUAAACCGCUUGGCGAAUAAGGGGUGGGUAAUAUGCGUGCCAGCCGCCGCGGUAAUACGUAAGCCCCAAGUGGUAUUCACUAAUAUUGGGCCUAAAACACCUGUAGCCUGUUUUUCAAGUCUUUAGUGAAAUCGGACAGCUUAACUGUUCGAAUUGCUAAAGAUACUGUUGAACUAGAAGCCGAAAGACGUGAAUGGAAUUUUAUGGGUAACGGUGAAAUGUUAUGAUCCAUAAAGGACCACCAGUAGCGAAGGCGAUUCACGAGGACGGACUUGACGGUGAGAGAUGAAAGCUGGGGGAGCGACCAGGAUUAGAUACCCUGUUAGUCCCAGCCGUAAACGAUGUGGACUAGGUGUCCUAAUAUCUUCAUGGUAUAGGGGUGCCGACGCGAAGGCAUUAAGUCCACUGCCUGGGGAGUACACUCGCAAGGGUGAAACUUAAUGGAAUUGGCGGGAGCGCACUACAAGGGGUGGAUGCUGCGGUUCAAUUGGAUGAAACGCCAGAAAAUCUUACCAGGAACGACAGCAGAAUGAUGGACAGUCUGAAGGGCUUUCCUGACGCGCUGAGAGGUGCUGUAUGGUCAUCGUCAGCUCGUACUAUGAAGCGUCCUGUCAACUCAGGCAACGGGCGAGACCCACGUGCAUAGUUGCUAUUCUCUCUUUUGAGGGGAGCACUCUAUGCAGACUGCGAAGGAAACUUUGAGGAAGGAGUGGGCCACGGUAGAUCUGUAUGACCCGAAUUUCCUGGGCUACACGCGGCACACAAUGGCUGAUACAAAAGGACCCUAACCCGAAAGGGCACGGAAAUCUUCUAAAAUUAGCCUAAGUUCGGAUUGAAGGCUGUAACCUGCCUUCAUGAAGAUGGAAUCCCCAGUAAUCGCAAGUCAUUAUCUUGCGGUGAAUGCGUCCCUGCGCUUUGCACACACCGCCCAUCAAGCCAGCUGAGUAAAGCUUUGAUGAGUUUAUUUCUUUAGAUCUAAACGAUUCUGAGUUCUGCGAGGCGGGC